rnacentral:lncRNA from 1 species
UUACCCCAGCUGGUGAGGACCGGGUUCUGAAUGCGACGCCUCUUCUGCCCUCAACGGCCACUAGAGUCGGGUAGAAGGCUGCUUCGGACACAACCCCAAAGCACGCAGCUCCUGGGUCUAGAACACAAGUGGCGGCCAGAGCAUUGUUCAUUCUGGUGGAAGAUUGCAGACAACUACAUACCCCUGACCAGGCACCGACUUCUUACAGCACCUCUGGGACCUCCGUACAGCAGGGUGUUGUAAUGGGGUAUGCUACUCCCUUCUCCGCUUUUCACAUAUGAAAAAACUGGGUUCCUGAGAGAAGGGACUUGCCUGAUAAUGAAGCUGGGGUCCUGACUCCUGUGACAGAUCUGGGGUGGGGUCUGGAUGGGAAGGACAGGUAGGUGUGGCAUCAGCCCCUAGACUCACCUGGUUGCCUUCAGUGGGCCAUUUUAGGAAAAGCCUCAGGAACUCAAGGCCCCUCAGGCCAGAAAAGGGACUGGAUAGGUUGCAUAAGGCAGCUCCUGCUUACCCAAAUUAGAGGCUGCCGCCGAUGGGGCUCCCUGUUCAUUGUGCCUGUUUCUGGUGAACUUGAUUAUCACAUAGGUUCAAAUGAAUGUCAUGUAGGUCCACUUUCAUUAAAAGAAAAAAAAAAG